CAAGAAACGAGGCCGCGUGCGCUCGCCCGCCCGGCCCCGCUCCUUACCUUGCCUACUGCACCGUUUGUUGCUUCUUGGCGGCGGACUGCCCGCCGCCAGGGACGUCGAUACAAUCCUGUAUAGAAGCAUUGAAGCUCUGAGAAAACGCGAAAUCGUA
rnacentral:misc_RNA from 1 species